rnacentral:rRNA from 1 species
GCUUACGGCCACACCGCCUGGUUCACGCCCGAUCUCGUUUGAUCUCGGAAGCUAAGAUAGGUUGGGCCUGGAGUACUUGGAUGGGAGACCGCCUAGGAAUACCAGGUGCUGUAAGGC